CGGGUGACACAGUGACAGAGUGAGGGAGCGGGUGACACAGUGACAGAGUUAGGGAGGGAGUGACUAGUGACAGAGAGAGGGAUGGGGUGACUAGUGACAGUCACCCCCCCCCCUCACUCUGUCACCAGUCAUCCCCUCACUCUGUCACUAGUCACCCUUUCCCUCCCUCACUUUGCCACUAGUCAUCUCUUCCCUCCCUCACUCUGCCACUAGUCACCCAUUCCCUCACUCUGUCACUAGUCACCC